rnacentral:rRNA from 1 species
GAUGAACGCUGGCGGCGCGCUUAACACAUGCAAGUCGAACGGGGUACCCAUGACAGAGGCUUCGGCCAAUUGAUUGGAAUACCUAGUGGCGGACGGGUGAGUAACGCGUGAGGAACCUGCCUUGGAGAGGGGAAUAACAGUUGGAAACAGCUGCUAAUACCGCAUGAUAUGUCUGUGUCGCAUGGCACUGGACAUCAAAGAUUUAUCGCUCUGAGAUGGCCUCGCGUCUGAUUAGCUAGUUGGUGGGGUAACGGCUCACCAAGGCGACGAUCAGUAGCCGGACUGAGAGGUUGGCCGGCCACAUUGGGACUGAGACACGGCCCAGACUCCUACGGGAGGCAGCAGUGGGGAAUAUUGGGCAAUGGGCGCAAGCCUGACCCAGCAACGCCGCGUGAAGGAAGAAGGCUUUCGGGUUGUAAACUUCUUUUGUCAGGGACGAUAGUGACGGUACCUGACGAAUAAGCCACGGCUAACUACGUGCCAGCAGCCGCCGUAA